rnacentral:sRNA from 1 species
AUGCAGACCCCAGCAGAUUUCCCCAGGGUUGAGAGAGACUUGGUUCCCUGUCCCAGAAAGGAUGAGGGCGUCCUCAAGGAGAUCUCCAUCACGCACCACGUCAAGGCUGGCUCUGAGAAGGCUGAUCCAUCCCAUUUCGAGCUCCUCAAGGUUCUGGGCCAGGGAUCCUUUGGCAAAGUCUUCCUGGUGCGGAAAGUCACCCGGCCUGACAGUGGGCACCUGUAUGCUAUGAAGGUGCUGAAGAAGGCAACGCUGAAAGUACGUGACCGCGUCCGGACCAAGAUGGAGAGAGACAUCCUGGCUGAUGUAAAUCACCCAUUCGUGGUGAAGCUGCACUAUGCCUUCCAGACCGAGGGCAAGCUCUAUCUCAUUCUGGACUUCCUGCGUGGUGGGGACCUCUUCACCCGGCUCUCAAAAGAGGUGAUGUUCACGGAGGAGGAUGUGAAGUUUUACCUGGCCGAGCUGGCUCUGGGCCUGGAUCACCUGCACAGCCUGGGUAUCAUUUACAGAGACCUCAAGCCUGAGAACAUCCUUCUGGAUGAGGAGGGCCACAUCAAACUCACUGACUUUGGCCUGAGCAAAGAGGCCAUUGACCACGAGAAGAAGGCCUAUUCUUUCUGCGGGACAGUGGAGUACAUGGCCCCUGAGGUCGUCAACCGCCAGGGCCACUCCCAUAGUGCGGACUGGUGGUCCUAUGGGGUGUUGAUGUUUGAGAUGCUGACGGGCUCCCUGCCCUUCCAGGGGAAGGACCGGAAGGAGACCAUGACACUGAUUCUGAAGGCGAAGCUAGGCAUGCCCCAGUUUCUGAGCACUGAAGCCCAGAGCCUCUUGCGGGCCCUGUUCAAGCGGAAUCCUGCCAACCGGCUCGGCUCCGGCCCUGAUGGGGCAGAGGAAAUCAAGCGGCAUGUCUUCUACUCCACCAUUGACUGGAAUAAGCUAUACCGUCGUGAGAUCAAGCCACCCUUCAAGCCAGCAGUGGCUCAGCCUGAUGACACCUUCUACUUUGACACCGAGUUCACGUCCCGCACACCCAAGGAUUCCCCAGGCAUCCCCCCCAGCGCUGGGGCCCAUCAGCUGUUCCGGGGCUUCAGCUUCGUGGCCACCGGCCUGAUGGAAGACGACGGCAAGCCUCGUGCCCCGCAGGCACCCCUGCACUCGGUGGUACAGCAACUCCAUGGGAAGAACCUGGUUUUUAGUGACGGCUACGUGGUAAAGGAGACAAUUGGUGUGGGCUCCUACUCUGAGUGCAAGCGCUGUGUCCACAAGGCCACCAACAUGGAGUAUGCUGUCAAGGUCAUUGAUAAGAGCAAGCGGGAUCCUUCAGAAGAGAUUGAGAUUCUUCUGCGGUACGGCCAGCACCCCAACAUCAUCACUCUGAAAGAUGUGUAUGAUGAUGGCAAACACGUGUACCUGGUGACAGAGCUGAUGCGGGGUGGGGAGCUGCUGGACAAGAUCCUGCGGCAGAAGUUCUUCUCAGAGCGGGAGGCCAGCUUUGUCCUGCACACCAUUGGCAAAACUGUGGAGUAUCUGCACUCACAGGGGGUUGUGCACAGGGACCUGAAGCCCAGCAACAUCCUGUAUGUGGACGAGUCCGGGAAUCCCGAGUGCCUGCGCAUCUGUGACUUUGGUUUUGCCAAACAGCUGCGGGCUGAGAAUGGGCUCCUCAUGACACCUUGCUACACAGCCAACUUUGUGGCGCCUGAGGUGCUGAAGCGCCAGGGCUACGAUGAAGGCUGCGACAUCUGGAGCCUGGGCAUUCUGCUGUACACCAUGCUGGCAGGGUGAGUGCCCCUGGCCUGGACCCUUCCCCACUCCUGCAGCCCUAGCACUUGGGCUGAGUGGUGCUUGUCUGAUAGGAAUGGCUCAGCCAGCCCCGCCCCAGGAUGGUCUGGAAACAGAGACAUGCUCCUGCCUCCAGGAGCUCUACCUUGGGAGUACCCCAUCUGAGGGGGAGACACAGUCUCCCACCGCAGCCCCAGCCCCAGUAUGGAGGCCAGAGUCUGUACCCAGACCGUGCGGGCUUUUCUGCAGAUACACUCCAUUUGCCAACGGUCCCAGUGACACACCAGAGGAAAUCCUAACCCGGAUC